rnacentral:rRNA from 1 species
AUUGAACGCUGGCGGCAGGCCUAACACAUGCAAGUCGAACGAGUGGCGGACGGGUGAGGAAUGUCUGGGAAACUGCCUGAUGGAGGGAGAUAACUACUGGAAACGGUAGAUAAUACCGCAUACCAUCAGAUAUGCCCAGAGGGGAUUAGCUAGUGGGUGGGGUAGCGACUCACCGAGGAGACGAUCUCUAGCUGGUCUGAGAGGAUGAACAGCCACACUGGGACUGAGAAACGGUCCAGACUCCUACGGGAGGCAGCAGUGGGGAAUAUUGCACAAUGGGCGCAAGCCGGAUGCAGCCAUGCCGCGUGUAUGAAGAAGGCCGUAGGGUUGUAAAGUACUUUCAGCGGGGAGGCGUUACCCGCAGAAGAAGCACCGGCUAACUCCGUGCCAGCAGCCGCGGUAAUAC